GGGGGCACUGGGAACUGUAGGGAGAUGCCGGGGUGGGGAGGGCUGGGAGUGCUGGGGGCUGCUGGGUGGGGGAACUGGGAACUACUGGGGGAGAUCAAGGUGGGGGGCACUGGGAGCACUGGGAGGGGGGACUGGGAGCUACUGGGGGACAGUGAGGUGGGAGUACUGGGAGGGGGCACUGGGAGCUACUGGGGGACAGCGAGCUGGGAGCAUUGGGAGGGGGCACUGGGAGCUACUGGGGGACAGCGAGGUGGGGGCACUGGAAAGGGGGCACUGGGAGCUACUGGGGGACAGCGAGCUGGGGGCAUUGGGAGCACUUGGGAGGGGGCACUGGGAGCUACUGGGGGACAGCGAGGUGGGGGCACUGGAAAGGGGGCACUGGGAGCUACUGGGGGACAGCGAGCUGGGGGCUUUGCAAGCUACUGGGGAUCAGCGAGGUGGGAGCAUUGGGAGCAUUGGGAGGGAGGACUGGGAGCUACUGGGGGACAGCGAGGUGGGGGCAUUGGGAGCUGCUGGGAGACAGCGAGGUGGGGGCGCUGGAAGGGAGGUCUGGGAGCUACUGGGGGACAGCGAGCUGGCGAACUGGGAGCUGCUGGGGGGCCGGGGCGGGGGGCGGCGCUGCCCGGGGCUGCCGCACUGGGAGCUGCUGGGGGGCCGGGGCGGGGGGCCGAGCGGGGUCGGGGGUGGGGGGAACCGCUCGGUCCCCACCGCCCCCGUCCCGUCCCGGGACUCACCCGCUCGCUGCCGGUCCCGGGGGUCGCGGAGGGGCCCGGCCCGGCCACGGAGCCGAGACUCCGCCGGGAGCGGGGCCGGGGGCGGUGCGGGGCGGGACCGGGAGCGGGGCCGGGGCCGGGGCCGGGGGGGGGGGGGCGGCGGGGCCGGAUCGCUGCUGCGGGGCCGGGAGGGGACCCACGCGGGGCCGGGACCCCCGUGGGUGACGCCGGGGCCCCCAGCGGGCCCCUCCGCCGGGACAGAGGCGCUUUGUGCGCGGGGGCACGUGACGGGGUCAGCGCAGGACGCCCGGUUCCCCCCCCCCCCCCCGGGGCGGCCAAAGGGUUAACGGGGAGGGAGUGGGGAGGGGGGGCUCUGCCCCUUUAAGGGGC
rnacentral:lncRNA from 1 species